AAGGGCUCUGAGAGGGGCAAAUCCAUCUGGUUCGUCCGUUCCACCAGUGCCAAUCCCGCUUUUCACUGCAGCCGUCCGAUCGGUCAUUUUUUUUCUCACUUUUUCUGUGUCCCACCGAGCCAAUGACGACUGGGGCCAGCUUCGUUUGGGACCCGGCCAUCAGAGGCAGCCUAGGGUGCUCAUUCUCGUCUUCUUCCGUCUCCUACCCCGGGAGACGGUGAAAACCUAGAUCGGCGUGGAGCCGUGGACGACCCCAAUCCUCCCCGCCCCUCUCCUCCCCGAUGGCGAUCUCCUUCUCCCCCGCGCGGCGACACCGGACGCUCGGGAUGGAGCGGCGCGGCGACCAGGCCGGCGCAGUGCCGGGAGGCGCGACGACGGCGGUUCUCGGCAGGAGCCGCCUCCUGAAUCUCUCCGUCAUGGCGCGAGCGAGCUCCAGAUCGAGAUCGAGCGGGGGCGGCUGUGAGCGGCCGCGGCGUGCUCCGGCUCAGGGAAGGGGAGGCCGGCGCGAGCUCGGGAAGGGCGGGCGCGGCGAGCUCCGGCUCCGUCUCAUGGGGCAGGUGGAGCAGCACGACGCCGGGGCUCCAGCUCGUGGAGAAGAGCCGGUAGACAGAGGACGGCGAGCGACGACCGCGGAGGUACGUGAUGACCAAGCCAGAUCCACCUUCAGGGUGCUUGGCGACGCUGCUGCGCUUCUUCCCCGGCCUUCUCGACUCGCAUAGCCUGGUUUGUCUCCCCCUGCUUCUUCUCAGUUAUGUUGUUCCGUCCGUGGUGCUGGCCUUGUUCCACGAUCUUAUCUUUUUGCACGAGCUGGUUGGUCUUCUUUUUUUUUUUUAAACUCGGUCUCGCUACUUGAGGAUUUGCUAGGGCUGAACGGUGUUGUCUUCUGCUCGCAGCUCCACCCAAGUGUAUGUGCAGAGUGAGUUUCUCCUUAAAAUUGCUCGUGCCUAUGCGUUCUUGCUGUCGUCAUGGUUGGCCCUCGUCCUGCCCGUACAAGAGCAUUCAGGGUGGCUUCUGCUUCUAAAGUUCGAACCAGUGCGCCUAGGCGCCAUAGAGCCCGGUUUGUGCCACUGCCGGCGCCUGUUGGGUUUGUUUCUGCAGGCCUCCCCAAAAGAAAAUGGGAUGGUUUCUUCCCUGUUGUUAGUCCAGAGGUUGCUACUAGAAACCGAAAAAGGCGCAAGGUCAUACAUGAUAGGCAGCGUGGGCGCACACCAGAUGCUCCAUUUACUUCCCCCUUGGAGCCUUUGUGGGUUGGGUUUACAACAGAGGAGGUUGAUAUCUUAAAAGCUGGCUAUGCAGAUAAGUCUUACUAUGGAGGGCCGGACUAUCGUUGUGGCCGGUGUAAGGCGAGUUUCUGGUACCAGGAAAGGGUGAAGAGUGCGUCUGCGAUCACUGAAAGGCGAGUUGUCUAUAACAAUUGCUGCAAAGGUGGGAAGGUCUUUAUUGCACCUUUCAAGGAGCCGCCGGAGUUCCUGCGUGCCCUCCUUGAUUUCGAUGGCACUGUCAUCAUAUAAAUCUUAACUGUUGCAUGUGUGGUUACAGGAAAAUGAAGUGACGUCUGCAUCAGUUUGUGAACCAAGCAAGAGAUGUGCGGAGAUCAAGUUACCUUCUUCAGGUAACAGUUCAGGGAUGAGGACGGUGGGCUCGUUCAGGGGAGGGCGGCGAGCUCGUUCAGGGGAGGGCGGCGAGCUCGUUCAGGGGAGGGAGGAGGUCAAGCCAUCGAGGACAACGACGAGCGCAGCGGAGGCGCAGCGGAGGACCAGCAGCGCCGCAGGGAGGAGCUCGUGGCUGACGGCGAGCGCCACAGCGAGGCAUGCACGCGGAGCAUAGGAGGAGCAUAGGCGUCCGCGGUGCAGAGAGCAGUGGGCGGCUAGCGAGGCAAGCUCAGGCGCGGCGCUGUGGAGUAGGCAAGCGCGGCGCACAGAGCUGACAGCAGCCGGUGGCGAGCGCCGCGAGCUCUGCAAUGGAGAUCACGGUUGGUCACGGGGGGCGACGACAAGAUGAUACCUCGACGGCGGAAGACGGAGACGGAGGUCGGGGAAGAUCGAGGAGGAGUUUUUUGAUCAUAGAAAGUCGUUCUUUUGAAAAUUGGCUUGAACUUUUACGUGGAGGUAUGCCUAUAUAUAAAUUCUGGAAGAUUAUUUCAGAUUAUCACCUUCGAUCUCCUGCAUUCCAAGCUUUUGCUUCUAUGUUUGCAUUGCGCAUUGGUUGAGGAGUGCCUGGCAGUUGGCGAGAGAAGAGGAUCAAAAGAACGAAAGGAGGCAAGAUUAUUUUAUGGUUGUGGAACCAGUCUCCCGGAUUCUAUUUUAUUUGCAUUACGUAUUGGUUGAGGAGUGCCUGGCAGUUGGCGAGAGAAGAGGAUCAAAAGAACGAGAGGAGGCAAGAUUAUUUUAUGGUUGUGGAACCAGUCUCCCGGAUUCUAUUGUACAUGCAGAUGCAGAUUUGGUUUGAUGUUGAGAUUUGGCUGGGUCUCGAUUCAAUUUUGGCCAGGUGGUGCGCUGAAUACUCCUGCUAAUUCUAAUGGUAUUGGGAAAUGCGGCAAAACUUAUAUGAGCUGGAUUUCACUGUUGUUGCCGUGAGGGUGGUGAUGAUGUCGCUCUCUAGACAGACUGGCUAAAGAUGAAGCGCCUGUUGAGAAUUGCCCUUGUUUUAUGGGCAGUUCAUUUUCGUGAGCAAUUUAACAUUGAUUCAGGAAUACUGUGGGAAAGAAGAUGGAUCAUCUAGGAGGAAGUUCAGCAUAUAAAUGCUGAGGUGAAGUUCGGACACCACGCUGACUAUAUUCCCAGGCGCCCACGCCCACGGACUUGGAAGGGGCUGCAGACGGUGAGUUGCAGAUUCCUAUCUGUAUGUUUUUUUCCUUCAGUAGUAGUUCUCUUUUAUGCUUCAGUACUUCUAUUAAAAUUAGUUUGCAGUCCUUACAAAAGAAGCUAGAUUAGGUGGGUGUGCUACAAAAAAAAAAGAUUGUUGAUCAGCAUGUCCAGCCAGCUUUUGCUCAUCGGUUCACUUUGCAUAUAGUGUGUAACUGAGAUUCUCUAUCUCAAAGAUGAUGGGAGAGAUAAAGUGUGAGCAAUGUCGUUUUGCUUUAAGAAAACUUUUUUAUAUUUGCACAUUUGCACUGAAUAUAUGGUCUGAUAAAUAAUAGGUGUGCUCGAUCCCAGAUUUUCACUAUCAGUAUAUAAAACUGACGAUGGCUUGUGCAAUGCAUAGGAGUAGCUUUACAACUCUCUCAAAAUGAGUAGCAUUGCUGAGAUAGAUGUGAGCAUGGGUGAAGGCAAGGUAUCACUUAGAGUGUAGGUGUGUUUUAUUCUGGUUUUCCCUGGGAGCAGAAUGUGACCGUGAGUGUGGUUGGGUGAUCCAAUCUGGUCAAUAUCCGUGUAUAGCUCAUUCGAAAAAAAAAGAUCUGUGUAUAGCUCGGCAAUUCAGGUACCCAGCUACCUUUUCAUUUAAUGGCAUGUUAAACCUGGUGCAUAUUCUAGCCAGUGGUGCUUUUGUUAUCAGGUGUAAGUGUUUAAUUUGAUACCCUUAUGUUUCUUCCCAAAUUUCUGAGAUGUCCAAAGUAUUUCAGAUCCUGACAGGAAUCAAUACAUGCGUGAUGUGUUUAUUUUACUGCUAAGAAUACAUGCUUAGUUUUAUUAUUAUUUGGUUCCGUUUCAUUGCUGAUAAGAACAGAUGCAAAGUGUUCUCAUUCUCAUGUUUCUUCUUACUGUUGAGAACAGAUAGUUAGUUAAUAAUAGACGAACAAAAUGAUGUCUACAUGUUGGUUAUGAGAGACGAAUAUCUCUGUGAUGUCAUUUUGCCGAACUGCAAAGCUAUCAUUUGAUGCAAUGUUCCUGAAAUUCAGCUUGUGGUACCUUUUUGUUUCUUGUAUGUACAUUAUAGUUUCUUGCUUGAUCAUUUUUGCGUAUAUUCUUUUCUCAAAGGACUACUGAAAUCUGAUAAAAAAAUAUAUUCUUUUAUUCAUUUCUCAGAUUACUGAAAUUAGUCUUGAAUAUAAUAAUGGAGAUCUUUGAUCUUGAAUUCUGUUUGGCCUUUUUCACAGCUGUAUGCUUUAAGAUAGCUGGAUACAUUCUAUUCUUGCAUUGGUAAAUUUACUUCAGGUGCAGAGAAAAUGGUAGCAAAAUUCUGUUAUUGAAUAUAUUCCUAAACUCUUCAUGAACUCAUCUGCUUGAUUUUUCUUCUCCCAU